rnacentral:rRNA from 1 species
UACGUAGGGGGCAAGCGUUGUCCGGAUUCAUUGGGCGUAAAGAGCGCGCAGGCGGUCGUGCAAGUCGCGUGUGAAAGCCCCCGGCUCAACUGGGGAGGGUCACGCGAUACUGUUCGACUCGAAGGCAGGAGAGGGAAGUGGAAUUCCCGGUGUAGUGGUGAAAUGCGUAGAUAUCGGGAGGAACACCAGUGGCGAAGGCGGGUCUCUGGACAGUUCCUGACACUGAGGCACGAAGGCCAGGGGAGCAAACGGG